AGCGAACGCUGGCGGCAGGCUUAAUACAUGCAAGUCGAGCGCCUGUAGCAAUACAGGAGCGGCAGACGGGAGAGUAACACGUGGGAACGUGCCCUUUGGUUCGGAACAACACAGGGAAACUUGUGCUAAUACCGGAUAAGCCCUUACGGGGAAAGAUUUAUCGCCAAAGGAUCGGCCCGCGUCUGAUUAGCUUGUUGGUGAGGUAACGGCUCACCAAGGCGACGAUCAGAGCUGGUCUGAGAGGAUGAUCAGCCUCAUUGGGACUGAGACACGGCCCAAACUCCUACGGGAGGCAGCAGUAGGGAAUAUUGGACAAUGGGCGCAAGCCUGAUCCAGCCAUGCCGCGUGAGUGAUGAAGGCCUUUAGGGUUGUAAAGCUCUUUCGGCGGGGAAGAUAAUGACGGUACCCGCAUAAGAAGCCCCGGCUAACUUCGUGCCAGCAGCCGCAGUAAC
rnacentral:rRNA from 1 species